UACGUAGGGUGCAAGCGUUGUCCGGAAUUAUUGGGCGUAAAGAGCUCGUAGGCGGUCUGUCGCGUCUGCUGUGAAAACUCGGGGCUUAACCCCGGGCCUGCAGUGGGUACGGGCAGACUAGAGUGCGGUAGGGGAGACUGGAAUUCCUGGUGUAGCGGUGAAAUGCGCAGAUAUCAGGAGGAACACCGGUGGCGAAGGCGGGGUCUCUGGGGCCGUAACUGACGCUGAGGAGCGAAAGCGUGGGGGAGCGAAC
rnacentral:rRNA from 1 species